CCUUUAGCAUUUUCUUUUCCAUUUUCUAUUAUGCAGAAACACGUGAAUACACUCUAUUCUCUUCCUUCUCUCUGAAAACCCUAGCGCCGCCGCCGAACCACCUUUUUCAUCUCCCUCCGGCCACCGCACCUCUAAUCGAUGAAAGGAGCUUAUUUUCGUGCUCAUCAUCACGUGACCUUCAAUUUGAACCAAUUGGAUUUUUGUUUUUGACAAAGUCAUUUCCGGCCACUUCGGCCUUUUCUGCUCCAUUUAGCUCAUCCUUUCAUGUGGUUGUUGUUGAGUAUCGUUUGUAGAAACUCCUCCUUCACCUUCGUUCUCUCGCCGCGAAACAAUUGGUACAAUAACAAGCCAUCGUCGGACUUUUGGUCGUUGUGGUCUUCUCUAUCCUUGGUUUACAUUAUCAGAUAUUCACGCCCAGCAAGUUUCCUGGCAAUGCUGAUUUUCACUUGUUCAAGGAGGGAGUGUGCCAGGGGAGGGAAAUCUUGACACCGUGUAGCUUGAAAAUGUAAUUUGUUUAUUAUUAGUGAUCUGCUUUUGUUUUUAAGGGAUACAUAUUGGGUGAUUUGGUAUAUAUGUGCUCUUGUGGAUUUUAUUUAAUCAAGUUUAUUCUUGCUUAUGCUGACCUGAGAAUUUAGAAACUUAACUUUUUUAAAGAAUAUCAAUGAGUACUUGUUUUAUCUUGCUUGUUAACUUGCAGUAGUUUCCAUAAUUCCUAUUGUUUGAGUCAUAGUUUAGUUAACUAUGUAGUUUUUAACAGUGGCAUCCAAGCAUUUUAUUAGACAUUUUAUUAGACUUAAGAAUAUCAAGAUAUGUUUAAUUAUUCAACUUAUGUUUUAAAAUGGAACAUGCAGAGAUGUCUUAGGAACAAGUUUGGAUGUUGUGUAAUCUGUUAUACAUCACAGUAUUUUCUACAAUUAGGCAUUUAAUGUAUUUAUAGUGUAGUUAUAAUUGUUGUAAUUUAUGGUUAUUCAGGAUUAAUAGUGGAGAGUGAGUCGUGUUAAUGGAAUAAAUGUUUCUUAAUUGGCAUAUCAAACAUGGUUUGCCUAAAAAAGUUGGUUAUUACUAAUAGUGAGCAUUAGAGCAUCACAUUAAUUCUUGCCUUGAUGUUAAUAACUUGAUGUUCAGCAUGUGGUCUGUGAGUUAUUUACAAUCUUGCUGGAGAUGUAUCUGAAAUGCUCAAAACAUUUAACUGUUUUUCUGCAUUAGUUAGUGAAAUUUUGGAAUUCAUCAUGACAGCAUCUAUUUCCAUUUUGAAUAAUUUGUUUUAAUUGCUCCAGUGCUUCCCUUUGCUACUAUCAUUUAUUUGGUGUAAUUGAUGAAUAUUAAGUGGCAGCAGCUUCUGAUGGCCAGUGUUAAUGUUUUUGUUAGAAACUAGGAAUCCAUAAUGAUGUGGCAGUGUUAAGUUUAUGCAGUUGUUUGUUGCAUUCAGUUAGUGUGGAUUAACCUCAUCUUUAAGGGUUUUUUAGAUUUACUUUGGCAUUAUUGUCAAGAUAUACACUCUCAAGACCAUUAUUGUCAUGUUUCGCUCGCAAGUGAAAACCACAACCUUGCUCUAAUUUAUCUAGGGAACGCAAGCAGGCUUACCAAGUGGAAUUGGAGUCUUUGGCUGUGAAACUAGACGAAAGCAAACUUGCAUAUAGGCAUCAAGUUAUAGCUCAAAAAUACUUGCAGGAGCUGUUGUAUGCUCUCAAUGCAAAGGUGAUGGAGUUAACUCUGUUGAUUUUUUCAAUGGACUCUUUAAAGCUAGUACCGACAAUUGAGAUGGGAGGUGUGUGGAUAGUUCAUCAACACUGAAAGGUGGAUAAUGUUCUUCACCGCAAAAACUUGCUUGGUAUUGUUUAGAUUAGCUUUUAGAUUAUAUAAGUGUGUCUGGUGUAUACUUGAUUUUAAAAUAUUAAAAGUGCUUGAGUAUACUUGAUUUCAUUCACCCGAGCCGAGGUCUAAACACAUUUCAGUUGUCGGUGUUUUAUGCCUUUCAACCUGUUUAGUUGAAUAAACUAGAAUGAGAUGAUUAUAUGGUUUAAUCCAGCAGGUGGAGAAUCUCAUACUUCAAGUUCUUAUAUGACGAGAUGAUUAUAUGGUUUCAACCUGUUUUGACAUAGUUAUCUUUUCCUCUUUUAGAUUGUCUCUAUUUCUAAAAGUUUUUUUGUUGUAUUUUUGUGCUGAAGAAUUAUAGUGUUUCUGAAUAUAUAGCUUAAAGGGAGUAUAUGCCCAUGGACAUCUGUACAACAUCAACAUCUCAGCCAUGUGAAAUUCCUAGCUCAUAUGUGAUAACUUUGGAAGGGCAUACUUCAGAGGUUUGUGCUUGUGCAUGGAGUCCUACAGGAUCCCUUCUUGCAUCAUGGUCUGGGGAUUCAACAGCUCGUAUUUGGACGAUAGAUGAAGGGAGAUGCAAAUCUACUUUCAGGAGUUACCCUUCUAAUGUAUUGGUGUUGCCACACCUUAGGGGUACAAACAACGAAAAGAGUAAGGAUGUCACUACACUUGAUUGGAAUGUGAGUACAGUGGCAUAUGGUGAUUUAAAUCCAUGAUGAUUACUGAUAGUGACUUCAAGUUCCUCUCUAGUUUUCUGUUUUUUCACAUCCAUUUCUAUCUUUUGGUUACCCGUUGGAGUUGUCUUGAGCAGAACAAUUUUGUGGGAAAAAUGAUGUAUUAGGAUAAUUUUCUGUUUUUUCACAUCCAUUUCUAUCUUUUGGUUACCCUUCUAAUGUUUUUUCAAGUUCCUCUUAUUGUUCAAUGAAUUUGUCUUAUUUAAGUUCAAAACAUUUUAAUUUAUAAUUUUAUUUUUACAUUAUGGUUAUUUUAAUAUAUAAUUUAUAUUGUUCUACAAAGUUAUUAAAUUUUUUUUUAAUUUGAGAUAGAAAUUACCUGCGGAUUUACCUGCGGAACUUCCUGCCGAAAAUAUUACCCACGAAGGUUUUAGCUGGGGACAUAAAACCGCAGGAAAAUCCGCAGGAAACGUGUUUCCUGCGGAAAUUUAACUAAAAUCCGCAGGUAAAUAGAGUAUUUCUAGUAGUGAUAAAGCACCUUCUUUACUUUUGUAAAAUAAUUUAGUAUCAUAAAGAAUCGGAAUGAUAAUUCUCUAAUUCAUCCCAAAACACCUUUAAAUGUGUGAAAUUAAUAAAAAUAAAAAGAAAAACAUCAAAAGUAACUUACAAAAUUUGUAGAUAUCUUUUUGAAUUUCUAAAAGUCGGAAAAUGUCACUCUACGAUAGAAAAUUGAGAUUUUUCUAAAGAAUUUUGCAAUUGAUUCCAUGCAAAAACCAUUGUGAUGCAUCAAUGCAGGACUUUAGUUCAGAUGCAAGUAAUAAAGGUUUACAUAAUUUAUCGAAAAAUCAGAAAAA